AUUGAACGCUGGCGGCAGGCCUAACACAUGCAAGUCGACAGAGUGGCGGACGGGUGAGUAAUGUCUGGGAAACUGCCUGAUGGAGGGGGAUAACUUCUGGAAACGGUAGCUAAUACCGCAUACCAUCGGAGGUGCCACGAUGGGCAUAGCGAGUAGGUGGUGUAACGGCUCACCGAGGCGACGAUCCCUAGCUGGUCAGUGAGGAUUACAAGCCACACUGCAACUUAGACACUGUCCAGACUCCUGAGGGAGGCAGCAGUGGCGAAUAUUUCACAAUGGGCACAAGCGUGAUUCAGCCAUGCCGCGUGUAUGCCGAAGGCCUUCGGGUUGUAAAGUACUUUCAGCGGGGAGGCGUUACCCACAGAAGAAGCACCGGCUAACUCCGUGCCAGCAGCCGCGGUAAUAC
rnacentral:rRNA from 1 species